AAGGAAGAUCACUAUAGACAUUGGAGAUGAAGGCACCAGAAAGGUAACAUUGAAGACUCUAGUCUGACCAAAGGCAACCAUCAUAACUAGGAUUAUGAUGUGCAGUUUAUGCAAAUAUGAGUGUGAAUUAGAAAUACCAGCAUAUGAUGUGAAGAUAGAUGACCAAUUGGUCAGACAGGAGGCAAACAAGAUUUAGAGCUUAGACAAACCAGCACCUGAAUCAUAUGGACCUUUAGCCCGAAAGAGGACCGGAAAAAUUCAGAUGGCAUUUUUGAUAAACUAGACAAUAG
rnacentral:lncRNA from 1 species